CCAGCUGUCAACCUUGCCCUCACCCCUCUUUAUCCUUUCUCCUCUAUCAUUUCCACUCAUUCUCUCUCUUACUAUCUCUCUCUCUCUCUCUCUUUCUUGUUCACUCAAUCCUACUUCUCUCAUCUCGACGGUAAUAAACCGGUUCCAUGCCCAUUAUUUCUCCUUCCACAUACAAUACCAAGGUACUCUUUUCACAAUUUUCUGUUUUAAAUCCACAAUUUUCAUUGCUUUACUCUCAAAUUAGUUUUGUGGGGGAUUUAAUGGGUUUUGUGGGUUUGUGAGGGUGGUGUUCAUGGACGGAUGGCCGGAUCUGACAUUCUAGGGAUUUUUAGAGUGGGUGUCGAUGGGUCAGAAUAGUAUUUGAAGAGCGUUGGGGUGGUUUCAUGGGUUUGCGAGUUAGAUUUUGUGGAUGGUUUCGAACAGUUUUCUGGGUUCGUGGGUGUAAAUCUGGGUUCGUGGUGGUCGGAUGGUUGUUGGAAGUGUACGGUGGUGGUGAUGGUAAGUGUACGGAGGUGGUGGUCAGAUGGAUGAUUUCAUGAGUACGGCGGUGGUGAUGGUAAGUGUACGGUACGGUGGUGGUGUUGUUCUUUCAUUUUGUGUGUGGAUUUUCUCGUUCACAAUUUGUAAAUCUAUACUUGUUCUUUUGAAUUUUGAGGAAUUAUGCAUGUUUGGUGUUAUGAUUGUAUUAUGAUAAAAAGGGAUAUAUAACCAACAAAGGCCAAAUCUCGAUUUAACAAAAGCCCAAGUUCUAGGAAUUAUCGGUUUACCUUCAAUCGCUCCUUACAAGAACCUUUCCUUUUCUGCUGCCUCUCUUGCAAGGUGGAGCAUAUAAUAUCUACACAAGGGAGCUUAAGAAUCAACGUAUCAGACCACAAAAUGUUGGGAUUUUCAGACAUUGACGAGUUUCAACAGGAUACAUUCCAGCAACUCUGAAAAUUUGUGGAAGAUUUAAAUUAUUCAAUACUAAUUUAGACAAAACUUGUUUUUUUAUUAUUACAAUUAUAAUUUGUUUUUGCGCUUUUAUCAUCAUUUAAAUCUUAUAUUAGUCUUAAUCUUAAGAUGUAAACAUGCGACAUUAUAUGGGCAAUUUGAUAUAUUAUGAAGUGAUAAUGAACGUAUUAUUUCUUAUUGUA